CUAUACAUGCAGUCGAGCGGACAGAAGGGAGCUUGCUCCCGGAUGUUAGCGGCGGACGGGUGAGUAACACGUGGGUAACCUGCCUGUAAGACUGGGAUAACUCCGGGAAACCGGAGCUAAUACCGGAUAGUUCCUUGAACCGCAUGGUUCAAGGAUGAAAGACGGUUUCGGCUGUCACUUACAGAUGGACCCGCGGCGCAUUAGCUAGUUGGUGAGGUAACGGCUCACCAAGGCGACGAUGCGUAGCCGACCUGAGAGGGUGAUCGGCCACACUGGGACUGAGACACGGCCCAGACUCCUACGGGAGGCAGCAGUAGGGAAUCUUCCGCAAUGGACGAAAGUCUGACGGAGCAACGCCGCGUGAGUGAUGAAGGUUUUCGGAUCGUAAAGCUCUGUUGUUAGGGAAGAACAAGUGCAAGAGUAACUGCUUGCACCUUGACGGUACCUAACCAGAAAGCCACGGCUAACUACGUGCCAGCAGCCGCGGUAAUACGUAGGUGGCAAGCGUUGUCCGGAAUUAUUGGGCGUAAAGGGCUCGCAGGCGGUUUCUUAAGUCUGAUGUGAAAGCCCCCGGCUCAACCGGGGAGGGUCAUUGGAAACUGGGAAACUUGAGUGCAGAAGAGGAGAGUGGAAUUCCACGUGUAGCGGUGAAAUGCGUAGAGAUGUGGAGGAACACCAGUGGCGAAGGCGACUCUCUGGUCUGUAACUGACGCUGAGGAGCGAAAGCGUGGGGAGCGAACAGGAUUAGUAUUUUUGUUUUCAAAA
rnacentral:rRNA from 1 species